GGUUGAGUAGCUUAAUUAAGAGCAGGGGUUUUGUAAACCUCAGGUGUAAAUUUUACUUCAACCU
rnacentral:tRNA from 1 species